CACGUAGGGGCAAGCGUUGUCCGGAUUUAUUGGGCGUAAAGAGCUCGUAGGCUGUUCGAUAAGUCGGGUGUGAAACCUCCAGGCUCAACCUGGAGACGCCACCCGAUACUGUCAUGACUAGAGUCCGGUAGGGAGCGUGGAAUUCCUGGUGUAGCGGUGAAAUGCGCAGAUAUCGGGAAGAACACCGGUGGCGAAAGCGGCUCACUGGACCACACUGACGCUGAGGCGCGAAGCUAGGGAGCAACAGG
rnacentral:rRNA from 1 species